GGUUAAGCGACUAAGCGUACACGGUGGAUGCCCUGGCAGUCAGAGGCGAUGAAGGACGUGCUAAUCUGCGAAAAGCGCCGGCGAGGUGAUAUGAACCUUUGACCCGGCGAUGUCCGAAUGGGGAAACCCAGUGUGUUCCGACACACUAUCGUUAACUGAAUACAUAGGUUAACGAGGCGAACCGGGGGAACUGAAACAUCUAAGUACCCCGAGGAAAAGAAAUCAACCGAGAUUCCCCCAGUAGCGGCGAGCGAACGGGGAGCAGCCCGCCCG
rnacentral:rRNA from 1 species